CUCUUGAACCCUCUUUUGCCUUUUCCCUUGUUUCGUUUGUUCUACUGUCACUAAUCCUUGUUGAGUCCUCUCUUUUCUUCCUAACAGUUUCUCAAGUUCUUCACGCUGGUCUGCAUCUUGGGUCUUGCCAGUUACCCUUCAUUUCUUUCUCUUCCUGCUCUCUCUCUCUCUCUCUCUCGCUAGGGUUUGAAGAUCUGCGAGGGUUUCAUGUGGUGAUAUUGAAGUUAUUCUUGAUUUCUCUGGUUUUGACUGGUUUCUAGGGUUAGCGUGUGAAGAGAGCGGGGAUUGGUGUAGAGGGAGUCUGGAGCUCCUUUAAGUCCGAUAGAGGUUCUUGGCUGGGUGAGUUGAGCUGCUGGUCUAUGGAUCCCACACUCCUAUCCCAUUAAAUCCAUUCAUUCGCGAACGAAUGCCCCAAAAGAGAAGGAAAAAAAGAGAUGAAGAAGACACAAAGAAGGAAGAAAAGUUGGGAUAGGCUUGUGGCUUGCAUAUGCCAGGAGCUUCACUUGCCCUUUUUGGUCUGAAUCCUUUUUUGGAUUGAAGGGAGCUCUACACUUCUUUCGUAAUCUUCCACCUCUCUCUCUCUCUCUCUCUCUCUCUCUCAUGAGAUAAUCUUGGUGACUUUUUGGCUUGAUGAUCUAUUUUUUCAUCGUGUUAAUCUUUCGGCAGUAGAUUUUCAUGGCGUUUAUCAGAUCUGGUUCUUUAAACCGAAGAGAUAGUCGGAAAAACAUUUUAGUCGCCCUCUUUUGUAUUGGAGUUUUCGCAAUUUUCUUUUGCCUUUUCUGGAUCUAGCCCAGUCAAAAACAUUUAUGGGAGCUGUAAAGAUUGCUUCAUGUGAGGUGUGUCCUGAACGAUGACUGGGCAUGCUGCUCCUUCCUAGAUACUCUCGCAUGAUGUCUGUGUAACUGUUAACUGACCGUUCUUGUGUCCUAGCCAAUGGGGUUUCUUUGAAUGAACGUUUUUCUGGAUCCCGUCUCAGGAUCCUCAGAUCUGGGUUCGAUUUAGUCAGAGCUUCGAGCAGGAAUGGAUGAUCUUGAAGAUGCAGGAACUCCAGUUGGAGGAUUUUGAAGUGUAUUUAUUGAUAGAAAAAUGUCUGUUUUUAAGCCGUUUGGCAGACAGAGAGAGUUGUCCUUUUGAAGCUUGUGCGAUUAUGUUGUAAGGGUGAAGUCUUUCGCAUUUUUUAGAGGCAAUGUAGACUUGUAAUAUGACGACCUUGAAUUUAAGAUUUGUGACGCAUUUAAGUGAUGAUACAAGUGAAGUGCCCUAA